rnacentral:lncRNA from 1 species
CAAUAAUCAAGGCAAUAGUAAAUUCCAAAACAUACAUCAAUAAUGUCUUGUAGAAAUAGACAAGUGUAGUUGUUUAGUAGAAAAAUAUAAUUAUGUUAUAUACUAAUAGCAAUACAUACUUGAAAAGGAAAUACAAAAUUAAAUUAGAAUUAUCUCAUUCUAGAUCUUCAAAAGAAAGUUUCUUAAAUUCUUGCAACUUGUCCGGAGUAGACUUCCAUCAAACCAACGAUGUAUUUAAAUCUGGAAAUUAACAAAGUGAAACACUUGUUAAAUUGUAAAAAUAAUGUAAACUCAAAAAAAGUCAAAACUCUAAUUAGUGACGGAAAUUGAUAUGGGCAAAAAUCAAUGCUACCAUAAUGUUGGAUUAGAAUACAAGUGCCAGUGCCACUCCCAAGACCAAUAAACACCAAAGUUAUCGUACCAAAUCACAAAAGCCAAAUGGGAAAUCGACAUACCUUGAAACAAGACGGGACCAGAACCAAAUUGACAACAUAAGGAGCAUGAAACCAACAUAUUACGAUUAUCUAGUUGCAACCUGGGAAGAGUGAUGGAAGAAACCAAACCAUACUUGUCAUUGGAAACUAUGCUGACAAGAAGUAAAAGCUCUUGAAUAUCCUUAAAGAUGAAAAACUCAAUUAUGUGUACUUCAAUAGUGCUUAAUAUUCUAUCAAAUAAGCUUAAUUACCAGUUCAAUCAUUUUAAUUUGUCCAUCAAAUGUACCAGUCACUGUGAUCAACCUAUCAUACCCUAUAAAACAGCAUUUGCAUAACUUAGUAUGACAAAACAACUCAAGCGAGCGACAGAAAUACUAUUACUAAUCUUAGAUAACAACUUAUGAUGUUGCUAGUGGUGGAGCUUCAAACACUUGCCC